rnacentral:pre_miRNA from 9 species
UCUCGAUCGCGUAACAGUUAACUCGAAUCUGUAUGGAGUUGGAACGUUUGCCUACGUUUGUCGCUAGGGGCGCUGUUCCAACUCCAUACAAAUCUGAGUUAACUUUUACACGAUCGA